GUGAAGAAUUUAAUGUAUUCCAGCAAUAGAGGCAUCAAGUAUCUAAAAUGGAACUGUCUUUCUAGUUCAUAAAUUCCAAGUGAACUCCUUAUAAACCAAGUCCAGAAACUGCCCCACAAUUGGAAGUACCUACUUUGCUCCAGGCCAAAAGAGACUGAGCAAAAUGACCUUCCUGAGAAAGAUUCAAGGAUCCUCUAGAGAAACACACCACAACCCUCCUGCAGUGUUACUAUUCCUGGCAACCACAGGACAUUUCUGAACUGAAUUUAGGUUAUAUAAUUCCAAGUAACUGAUUAGGAACUGAACACAGCAUUCCAGCAGCGGAUGCACCAGUGCCA